GUCUGACAUUGAGUGCCUGGAGCCCUCCCUAGCUCUCCAGCUGGAACCUUCCUCUGUAGGAAGGCUGAGGCUAGCAGGGAGAAGCCAGGAUGGAUUUUAAAGAGCCUUGUUGUCUCUAAGGAAGAGUGGAGCUUACAUCUUUGGGUUUGCAGAAAUGCCCACAUUCAACUCAGGGGGAAUAAAAGGAUGGGAGUUAGAAUUUCAACUUGCAGUUGCAGAAUCUCAGAGUUAAAAGAAACCUCAGAGGUCAUCUCUUCCAACCCUUCUCCAGAGCAGCUUUAAUUGCCUGUGUGGGAGAUUCAGGGCCAGCAGCUGCAGCUUCCCUUUCCCUGCCUCUGACUUGCCAGAAUCCUGUUACACCUGGGAUUUAGGCACUUUCAAUCUGAAAAAAUACAUAUCCUUUCAGCACUCUGGACGGACUUGAGAACUGUCCUUACGUGACCUAAAGCUGGAGUAUUUUGAGAUUGGAGAAUUAAGAGCCAGUCUUGGUGCUCUGUGUUCACCUGGUUCAUCUGAGGAGCUGCAUCUACCCUGCCCAUGCCAUAGAUCCUGCCCUGUUUGCUUCUCCUGUUGCUGCUAGUGGACAUGAGAAGGACAGAAUAACGGGCUCCCAGAUUCACAAGCCCCACCAAGAGGAUCACCCCAGGAACGCUUGGAGGCUGAGGAGUUCACUGAGGCUACUGCAUCUUGAGACUCAGGAUGAAGACCCAGCUUGGGGCUGUCAAAGGUUUUUUGCAUGUCUGACACCCAUGACUCCACCUGGACCUUAUGGCUCCACCCAGAAGCAAUUCAGCCCAACAGGAGGACAGCUUCAACCCAUUACGAUUUCAUCUCUGCCCCAACCACUCAGCAGCAAGCACCUGUUACCUGUCCACCCCCACCCCUUCCCCCAAACUGCCUUUGAAAAAUCCCUAACCUAUGAGCUUUGAAUAAGAUGAGUACGAACUUCAUCGCCCACGUGGCGUGGCCGGCCUCGUGUCUAUUAAAUUCUUUUUCUACUACAA
rnacentral:lncRNA from 10 species